rnacentral:rRNA from 1 species
GGUGUAGCGGUGGAAUGCGCAGAUAUCAGGAGGAACACCGAUGGCGAAGGCAGGUCUNUGGGCUGUAACUGACGCUGAGAAGCGAAAGCAUGGGGAGCGAACAGGAUUAGAUACCCUGGUGGUCCAUGCCGUAAACGUUGGGCACUAGGUGUGGGGGACAUUCCACGUUNUCCGCGCCGUAGCUAACGCAUUAAGUGCCCCGCCUGGGGAGUACGGCCGCAAGGCUAAAACUCAAAGAAAUUGACGGGGGCCCGCACAAGCGGCGGAGCAUGCGGAUUAAUUCGAUGCAACGCGAAGAACCUUACCAAGGCUUGACAUAUACUGGACUGCGUCAGAGAUGGCGUUUCCCUUCGGGGCUGGUAUACAGGUGGUGCAUGGUUGUCGUCAGCUCGUGUCGUGAGAUGUUGGGUUGAGUCCCGCAACGAGCGCAACCCUCGUUCUAUGUUGCCAGCACGUGAUGGUGGGGACUCAUAGGAGACUGCCGGGGUCAACUCGGAGGAAGGUGGGGAUGACGUCAAAUCAUCAUGCCCCUUAUGUCUUGGGCUUCACGCAUGCUACAAUGGCCGGUACAGAGGGUUGCGAUACUGUGAGGUGGAGCUAAUCCCUAAAAGCCGGUCUCAGUUCGGAUUGGGGUCUGCAACUCGACCCCAUGAAGUCGGAGUCGCUAGUAAUCGCAGAUCAGCAACGCUGCGGUGAAUACGUUCCCGGGCCUUGUACACACCGCCCGUCAAGUCACGAAAGUUGGUAACACCCGAAGCCGGUGGCCUAA